rnacentral:siRNA from 1 species
ACACGGUGCGACAAGAAGCUGG